AUUAAAAUAAAUACAUUUGAUUUGAAUAUAUAAAAUAAAUAACUGAUAAAACUAAAUAACAAACUAAAACUAGAUUUAAAUAAAAAAAUAAAAAAGCAGUGUAGAAGUUUAAAAACAUAAAUAGUAAUUUAGUAACUUAAAAAAUAAAAUACAUCUCACUUACAUUUAAUCAGUUAUUGUUGUGGUAAUACUGCUUUAAUAGUUUGAGUGGUGGUCACUGAGUCUGUCUGGAAUGGUAGGCUAUUUUUAUGAAUAUUAUAUUAGUCAGUCCACAAUCAAAACACCUGUCUGACAAAAUGAAAACAGCAAUUUAAAUCAAAGAGAACACAAUGUGUCCAUCAUGAGGAUUCAUGAACAGUGUAAUUCAAUUAAUAGCAGUUCAUGUGUGUAUGAAUGAAAACGAUGUGGCAGCGGUGGGAUUCGAACCCACGCCCCCGAAGAGACUGGAGCCUUAAUCCAGCGCCUUAGACCGCUCGGCCACGCUACCGCUGAGACAGCCCAUGAUCCUGACCCCUUUCGGCUAGUUGAAUUAUUACACUCCACGGCCAUCGCAGAAUUAAGGAAGCUUGAUUCAUAAAACCUAAAAAGGCCAUCCAGUCUCAGCCUCAGGUGUCACGCCCACGGACCGCUGGCUGAACGUCUGAUGCAUAUGGCACACUUAACUGGAAACACUUCAGGAUUUUCGAAGUCGUCAUCUGGUUGGUUGAAUUCUACAGGAUGUCCGGGAGACGCGUGUCCCGUUCUUUAACGGUCCGCCUGGAAACAAAUGUUGUGUCACAAAACCCCCUCGUGGAAGAAGAAAGCUGUCAUGUUUACAACUGUGACGAGCGCUUACCAGGACCAACUAAACGCUGAAUUUUCAAAAGUAUGUGAAGUUCGUGGCUCCAUUGUUGAGGUAAACUUGCACAACAUUCUUGAAUGAAUAAUUUAUUAGAUGCACACUGGUCUGUUAUCGGAGGGACAUCGACGCAAUAAUCGACGCAACACGCUGUUUUUGUGUGUGUCCCUUUAAAUGCAAAUGAGCUGCUGCUCCCGCCCCCUUUCCAGAAGAGGGCGGAGCUUUAACAGCUCGCGCUUCGGUCGCUCAACAACAACAAAGCUGGAGAAUCUCACGCAGCCAAAAUGAGGAUUGUCAGUAACGGUGUUCAGCCUUACAUUGUUCAAACCGGAGUCGACACUGAUGGAGAGACUCAGGAAGAAGUUACAACUUUUAGACAUUUCUGAAUGGUUAGUGGAUAAAUUUAUGUAGUUGCUGUGGAGUUGAUUCAACUCAUCUAGUAUGUGCCGUCAUGUUAAUCUUUUCAAUAUCUUCAAAAUUCAUCAAAAUAUCUUCAUUUGUGUUCUGAAUAUAAAGGAAGGUCUUAUGGGUGUGGAACGACAUGAGUAGGGUGAGUAAUUAAUGACAGAAAUUUCAUUAUUGGUUGAAUGAACCGUAGCUGUACGGCUGUAUGCACUCUGCGUACCAUGAGAGGGCGCUAAUUAAUGCCGUUUUUAUAUAUUUUUUUCACAUCUUUUUCAAAGCUGCAGUCCGUAGUUUUGCCUCUUUGUCGGCAUCUCUGUUUGAAACCUGCAGUUGCAGUUAUAUGCGGAAUUAUUAUCGUUACGUGCGUUGUGCCUCGGCAAGGCUCCUCAGCAUGGACGAAUCUAAUGUUUGCUGUCAAUCACCGCACCGGAAUCACAGACUGUAGUCUUGAAGUAUGACCAAAGUAAGAAUUUUCACCAGAAAAUGUCAUCUGAACAAAUAAGUAACAUGUCUGCCACUUUUGUUCUGACCAACUGAGGGAAAAGCAUUAGCCUACAAUAAAUCACGCUGCCAAUGGUGAUUAAAUCUAAAGAUCUCUUAGCUCAGAUCACAUCAAACCAUGCAAAUUAUUAUUAUUAUUGUUAAUGUUAACAACAUCAGCAUUGUGUGACUGUGUAUUCAGUGUGUAUUAGCGUUACCCGUAGAUUUCAGUUUUUGUAGUGACUCCACAGUCCGAAGUCUUUUGCUUUUGACUACGGCUGAAUCUCCAGUUGUCACUGAUGAUUGUCAUUUGGACCUUUCUGGAUUACAAUCCGCCAUCAAAAUGAUGAGUUUAUUUAUUGCAGCUGCUAUAAAUGAUCCGCUACAAGCAGCAUCCGGACAUGAUAAAGCCAACUAGCAGGGACUCCUUCCUUUCUGUUUACAGACGUGACGUAAUGACGCAACGGCGAACGGCUGCAUGCUCGAAUUACCCGCGGAAACCCACCAGUAUCGAUUUAUUAUAAAACAUUAUUACAAGCUUACCGUUGUGAAUCGGGCUAAGGUAAGGAGAUAGUUUUGAACACUGGCUGGUUAUGAGCUUGCUCAAAAAUUGAUUUCGGAUCAUUUUUAAAUAAAAAAAGUUAUGGACUUGUGGGAUUACAAAUUUAAGAAUCUGUUUAAGAUCUGCUGAUCCUACAUCCUGACAUAACCUCACAUGAAAUACUAAGGUGAAGUAUAUUGUAUUUAAUAUUUUGAGGUAAAGAUAAUGACAAUUUAAGGAGAUCAAGGCAGGCAGCCCAGGUGUCUGUAACAUUAACCUUUCAUGCACUUUCUGACCAUUUGGCAGGACAAGCUCAAGAUACAGCGGUGCCUUUGUCUCUAUGAUAAUGUAAAGGUAUGCGCGAUACUAUCAGACUGAGUGGAUUAGCACCUAUGCAUUUGAAUGACACCGUUAUGCUGAUUAGAUCAUGGCUGGGAAAUGUAGGGAAUGGGCUGAUUCCUGCACUGCAUUUGCAUGCUUUGUUUAGAUUGUCUCCACCUCUACUCUAUGUAUCCCUCCCCCUUGAAUGUAUAUGAACUACCAAGUACACUGCCUUAGUUGGACUUGGAUGACUACAGCGACGCACAGCGCGUUUCUCAAUAAAGAGUAACUUCUGCUUGAAAGAUA